rnacentral:rRNA from 1 species
UACAGAGGUCCCAAGCGUUGUUCGGAUUCACUGGGCGUAAAGGGUGCGUAGGUGGUGAGGUAAGUCGGAUGUGAAAUCUCCGAGCUCAACUCGGAAACGGCAUUGGAAACUACCUUGCUCGAGGGUUGGAGGGGGGACUGGAAUGCUUGGUGUAGCAGUGAAAUGCGUAGAUAUCAAGCGGAACACCAGUGGCGAAGGCGAGUCCCUGGACAACUCCUGACACUGAGGCACGAAAGCUAGGGGAGCAAACAGG